rnacentral:rRNA from 1 species
GCAAGUCGAGCGAACCUUCGGGUUAGCGGCGGACGGGUGAGUAACGCGUUUUAUUAUUCCUCUUGGUACGGAAUAGCCUUUGGAAACGAAGAGUAAUACCGUAUGUGCCCUCCGGGGGAAAGAUUUAUCGCCAAGAGAUUAGCCCGCGUUGGAUUAGGUAGUUGGUGGGGUAAUAGCCUACCAAGCCGACGAUCCAUAGCUGGUUUGAGAGGAUGAGC